rnacentral:rRNA from 1 species
AGAGUUUGAUUCUGGCUCAGAACGAACGCUGGCGGCGUGGAUAAGACAUGCAAGUCGAACGAGAGAAUUGCUAGCUUGCUAAUAAUUCUCUAGUGGCGCACGGGUGAGUAACACGUGAGUAACCUGCCCCCAAGAGUGGGAUAGCCCCGGGAAACUGGGAUUAAUACCGCAUAAAAUCGCAAGAUUAAAGCAGCAAUGCGCUUGGGGAUGGGCUCGCGUCCUAUUAGUUAGUUGGUGAGGUAACGGCUCACCAAGGCGAUGACGGGUAGCCGGUCUGAGAGGAUGUCCGGCCACACUGGAACUGAGACACGGUCCAGACACCUACGGGUGGCAGCAGUCGAGAAUCAUUCACAAUGGGGGAAACCCUGAUGGUGCGACGCCGCGUGGGGGAAUGAAGGUCUUCGGAUUGUAAACCCCUGUCAUGUGGGAGCAAAUUAAAAAGAUAGUACCACAAGAGGAAGAGACGGCUAACUCUGUGCCAGCAGCCGCGGUAAUACAGAGGUCUCAAGCGUUGUUCGGAAUCACUGGGCGUAAAGCGUGCGUAGGCGGUUUCGUAAGUCGUGUGUGAAAGGCGGGGGCUCAACCCCCGGACUGCACAUGAUACUGCGAGACUAGAGUAAUGGAGGGGGAACCGGAAUUCUCGGUGUAGCAGUGAAAUGCGUAGAUAUCGAGAGGAACACUCGUGGCGAAGGCGGGUUCCUGGACAUUAACUGACGCUGAGGCACGAAGGCCAGGGGAGCGAAAGGGAUUAGAUACCCCUGUAGUCCUGGCAGUAAACGGUGCACGCUUGGUGUGCGGGGAAUCGACCCCCUGCGUGCCGGAGCUAACGCGUUAAGCGUGCCGCCUGGGGAGUACGGUCGCAAGAUUAAAACUCAAAGAAAUUGACGGGGACCCGCACAAGCGGUGGAGUAUGUGGCUUAAUUCGAUGCAACGCGAAGAACCU